CCUUUUGCCGGGAUGACAAGCUGUUGGUUUUUUGCUUGCUUGGUAUAGGUGCUAAGUGAUGAGGCUGUAAGUCUUUCGGCAAUUCCCAUUGUACUGCCCCAAUUGUGCUGCUCUGCGUUGCACUCUCCUCCACAUUGACAAUGUCUGACACACAAAACCAGACUUUGUUAGCUGAUUAUGCAUUUGUUUACAAGAGUUGAAUUAAACCAUAACUACCGUAGUUGCAAACUGCUUAGGAGAAGUGUCAAAGUAUCAGGUGUUUGCUAAACUAGUUGUAGGAAACAUUUACAAUAUAAAAUGUGUUUGGAUAUCCCAAUGGACACAACUGGAUCAAUAAUCAACAAGUGAAAGCAGCAUCAACUUACACAUGCACUGACAAGAGAAGCUGUCCCUCAAAACUCAAGGAGAUCUCUGUGAAGCCACAGUGAAGCCACAUUGAAGCAAACAAAAUUUCACAAUCCAGAAAGCAUGAGAGUGACCAAUCUGUGCUGUGGGAAAAUGUUUUGUGGUCUGAUUAGACUAAGAUAGUUUUUUUUUUGUAAAAAUACUGCAAGAGAAUCUACUUCAGUCCACUCAUUGUGAAUUUAAUUGUGAAUUUAAAUUCACAAUACAGCAGGACAGUGUUUCCAAGCGCAAGGCCAAAUCAACAUUUAAUUAUUUUAGGUGGCUCUACUACACUGAACAAAAUUAUAAACGCAACACUUUUGUAUUUGCCCCAUUUAUCAUUAGCUGAACUCAAAGAUCUAAGACUUUCUCUAUGUACACAAAAGGCCUAUUUCUCUCAAAUGUUGUUCACUAAUCUGUCUAAAUCUGUGUUAGUGAGCACUUCUCCUUUGCUGAGAUAAUCCAUCCACCUCACAGGUGUGGCAUAUCAAGAUGCUGAUUAGACAGCAUGAUUAUUGCACAGGUGUGCCUUAGGCUGGCCACAAUAAAAGGCCACUCUAAAAUGUGCAGUUUCACUAUAUUGGGGGGGUCCGGGGGAGUCCGACUCCUUUUCGCAUGGUUUUGAUCGGGUUGUUGAUUGUGGCCUGUGGAAUGUUGGUCCAUUCCUUUUCAAUGGGUGUGCGAAGUUGCUGGAAAUUGGCAGGAACACGCUGUCAUAUACACCGAUUCAGAGCAUCCCAAACAUGCUCAAUGGGUGACAUGUCUAGUGAGUAUGCUGGCCAUGCAAAAACUGGGAUGUUUUCAGCUUCCAGGAAUGUGUACAGAUCCUUGCAACAUGGGGCCGUGCAUUAUCAUUCUGUAACAUGAGGUGAGGGUCGUGGAUGAAUGGCACAACAAUGGGCCUCAGGAUCUCGUCACGGUAUUUCUGUGCAUUCAAAAUGCCAUCAAUGAAAUGCACCUGUGUCCGUUGUCCAUAACACACGCCUGCCCCAUGUUUUAAAAUAUAAUAUCAAAUACAAUAACAUUUCAAUAUACCAAUUGUUAUCCAGGAAUAAGCCAGAAUUGGUCACAGGUUUGAAUACUUUUGCAAGGCACUGUUUAUAUAUAUAUCUAUGUAUCUAUGUAUAUAUGUGUAUUGAUAUG
ensembl:lncRNA